rnacentral:rRNA from 1 species
CACGUAGGGCGCAAGCGUUGUCCGGAAUUAUUGGGCGUAAAGGGCUCGUAGGCGGUUCGUCACGUCGGGAGUGAAAACUCGGAGCUUAACUCCGAGCCUGCUUCCGAUACGGGCAGACUAGAGGUAGGCAGGGGAGAGCGGAACUCCUGGUGUAGCGGCGGAAUGCGCAGAUAUCAGGAAGAACACCGGUGGCGAAGGCGGCUCUCUGGGCCUUACCUGACGCUGAGGAGCGAAAGCGUGGGUAGCGAACAGG